rnacentral:misc_RNA from 1 species
AACAAUCUUUCGAGCAAUCGAAGAAUCAAAGUUUUCAAUCGUUGUUUUUUCAAGAAAUUAUGCUUGCUCUGAAUGGUGCUUGGAUGAACUUGCAAAGAUCAUUGAAUGUAUGAAUGAAAAGGGUCAUGUAGCUUUUCCAAUUUUCUAUCACGUGCCACCUGAUGAUGUGAUGAAUCAAAUAGGCCAUUAUGAGGAAGCUUUUCUUUGCCAUCAAAGACUCUUCAAGAAGCAGAGGGUGCAGAGGUGGAGGAUUGCUUUGACUGA